ensembl:lincRNA
GGGAGAAUAAAAGGAUCUCAUUAAGGUAUUAAAAUGCCUAGUGGUAAUAUUUCCUUGACAUUUCAUAUGUAUCCUUAGGAACUAAUCAAAUAUGUCCUGUGAAGCUGUCUGGAUCAAGGACAUCGCUCCAUUUUUUCAGAACAUAAAGGACAGUGAUGAAUUACAUGGAAGAUAAUUUGACAAUCUUUUUCUGCUAAAGGUCCCAAGAUAUUCCUCAAGAGUCUCCUGGCCACACUGCCAAACACAUCAUAUGUCUGUGCCUCAGAACCUCAGCUUUCACCCUACCUGGUAUAUUCUCCUUCCCUUAUCUGUGUUUUGAGUUUUCUCCUGUCUUUGAGGCCCAAGCAGCUAGCAAUAUCUCAAGAAAAGCAUCUCUGGA